CGAUACAUUAACAAUGGAGUUGGGAA
rnacentral:sRNA from 1 species